rnacentral:rRNA from 1 species
GAAGUGACGGUACCACAUGAAUAAGCCCCGGCUAACUACGUGCCAGCAGCCGCGGUAAUACGUAGGGGGCGAGCGUUGUCCGGAAUCACUGGGCGUAAAGGGCACGCAGGCUGUGAUUCAAGUCAGCUGUAAAAGGAUGCGGCUUAACCGUGUUUAGCAGUUGAAACUGGAUGACUGGAGUGCUGGAGAGGCAAGUGGAAUUCCCAGUGUAGCGGUGAAAUGCGUAGAUAUUGGGAAGAACAUCGGUGGCGAAGGCGACUUGCUGGCCAGUAACUGACGCUGAGGUGCGAAAGCCAGGGUAGCAAACGGGAUUAGAUACCCCGGUAGUCCUGGCUGUAAACGAUGAAUGCUAGGUGUGCGAGCAGAGAUGUUGGUGUGCCGCAGUUAACGCGAUAAGCAUUCCGCCUGGGGAGUACGGUCGCAAGAUUGAAACUCAAAGGAAUUGACGGGGGCCCGCACAAG